CUAUAUUUAUGACACACUACUAUUACUACUUGACUUUUUAACAUUUUUACGUACUAACUUUUUCUUUCUUAUCUUUUUGACUUGUCUUCUUCUUCUUAUCUCCUUCCGUCUUUAUCUUAUUCCAGCUGGACAUCGAGAAUCACGUUAUCUUCUCCAUUGCAUUUUGAACAUAUGUGGUCAGGGUAUUUGUGACCAAUUAGCUUGCAAUACCUGGUUAAUAAUUCUGCCGAAAUAAAUCCUUCUUUUAGUGCUCGUGUUGUAGGUCGUUC
rnacentral:lncRNA from 1 species